rnacentral:piRNA from 1 species
UAAUGGAGAGUCACCUAGGCUCAGGUC